UGUGGAGAAGAACCUCCUAACUAGCCUUUUAUCCAUCAUUUUCAUCCAAAAACGUUUUAUAAUCUGUUUUGUUUUAAAGUUUCUGUUUUGUUUUCAAUUUUCGUCCAAAACAAAUCCCCCUUUAUUUUGAAGUCUUAGAUUAGUUAGAAAGUGUUUUGAUUUGUGUUUCUAAGUGUUUUGAUUCAAGUUUUCAUCCAACUUCGUACAAGUUCUUGUUAGGUUCUCAAAACUGCCCAGAAAGUGGUUUUU
rnacentral:lncRNA from 1 species